CACCGGUGGCGAAGGCGGGUUUCUGGCCGAUAAUUGACGCUCAGAUGCGAAAGUGUGGGGAUCGAACAGGAUUAGAUACCCUGGUAGUCCACACUGUAAACGAUGUACACUAGGUGUUGGGGUAUGANUCUCANUGCCGAACCAACGUGAUAAGUGUACCGCCUGGGGAUUUGCCCCNAGGG
rnacentral:rRNA from 1 species